rnacentral:tRNA from 1 species
ACUUUCAUAGCUUAUUUAUAGAGCAUAAUAUUGAAGAUAUUAGGGAAAUUGUAUAAUUUGGAAGUA